rnacentral:rRNA from 1 species
UACGAAGGGGGCUAGCGUUGUUCGGAAUCACUGGGCGUAAAGGGCGCGUAGGCGGCUUUAUAAGUCGGGGGUGAAAGCCUGUGGCUCAACCACAGAAUUGCCUUCGAUACUGUAGAGCUUGAGACCGGAAGAGGUAAGUGGAACUGCGAGUGUAGAGGUGAAAUUCGUAGAUAUUGGGAAGAACACCGGUUGCGAAGGCGGCCAACAGGACUGGUACUGACGCUGAGGCGCGAAAGCGUGGGGAGCAAACGGG